UACGUAGGGUGCAAGCGUUGUCCGGAAUUAUUGGGCGUAAAGAGCUCGUAGGCGGCUUGUCGCGUCGUCCGUGAAAACCUGGGGCUCAACCCCAGGCUUGCGGUCGAUACGGGCAGGCUCGAGUUCGGUAGGGGAGACUGGAAUUCCUGGUGUAGCGGUGAAAUGCGCAGAUAUCAGGAGGAACACCGGUGGCGAAGGCGGGUCUCUGGGCCGAUACUGACGCUGAGGAGCGAAAGCGUGGGGAGCGAACAGG
rnacentral:rRNA from 1 species